UACAGAGGGUGCGAGCGUUAAUCGGAAUUACUGGGCGUAAAGCGUGCGUAGACGGUAGCGUAAGUCAGAUGUGAAAGCCCCGGGCUCAACCUGGGAAUUGCAUUUGAGACUGCUCUGCUCGGGUGCGGAAGAGGGAGGCGGAAUUUCCGGUGUAGCGGUGAAAUGCGUAGAUAUCGGAAGGAACACCAGUGGCGAAAGCGGCUUCCUGGUCCGACACCGACGUUCAGGCACGAAAGCGUGGGGAGCAAACAGG
rnacentral:rRNA from 1 species